rnacentral:rRNA from 1 species
UACGUAGGGAGCAAGCGUUGUCCGGAAUCAUUGGGCGUAAAGCGCGCGUAGGCGGCCCUGUAAGUCCGUUGUGAAAGUCAAAGGCUCAACCUUUGAAAGCCGAUGGAUACUGCAGGGCUAGAGUCCGGAAGAGGCGAGUGGAAUUCCUGGUGUAGCGGUGGAAUGCGCAGAUAUCAGGAGGAACACCGGUGGCGAAGGCGGGUCUCUGGGCCGAAACUGACGCUGAGGAGCGAAAGCGUGGGGAGCAAACAGG